rnacentral:lncRNA from 1 species
CCAUUCCCUAUCCGCAAUGUGCUGAGCUCUAAUUUGGGUUUGUUAAUGUCCUGAUCAUCAUUCAGGCUUGAGUUUGACUCUUUAAGAGUCUGCUCUUAUUUGUCUAAAUCUGAGUGGGAGGUUAGGGGUGUGCCAGUCUAUUCCAUGACUGGGUAUGACCACCUCAUGCUGAGGUUUCUCUCUCACUUUACACCUAUUCCUAGCUCUUAAGUUCUACCCCCUAUGGUAUGCCAUGCUUAGGGACCUUAGAGUUCCCUCUGAACUUGGAUGCCUAAGGGUUGUUAAUUCCACACAUUGCAC